rnacentral:rRNA from 1 species
GACGAACGCUGGCGGCGCGCUUAACACAUGCAAGUCGAGCGAAGCGGCGGACGGGUGAGUAACACGUGAGUAACCUGCCUUAGACAUUGGGCUAGCCUCGGGAAACCGGGAUUAAUACCAAAUGGUCUAAGAUGGACUCGAGUCCCAUUAGCUAGUUGGUGGGUAACGGCCCACCAAGGCGACGAUGGGUAGCCGGCCUAAGAGGAUGAACGGCCACAUUGAAACUGAGAAACAGUCCAAACUCUACGGGAGGCAGCAGUGGGGAAUAUUGAACAAUAGAGGGAACUCUGAUGCAGCGACGCGGCGUGAACGAAGGAGGCUUUCGAGUCGUAAGGUGCUUUUAUAUGGGAAGCGGUACCGAAAGAAAAAGCCCCGGCUAACUACGUGCCAGCAGCCGCGGUAAUUC